AGUGCAUGCUAAUUUUUCCUCAUUAGUAUAGUGGUUAGUAUCCACGCCUAGCACGCGGGAGAUCGCGGUUUGAUUUCCUGACGAGGGAGCCACAGGGUUUUAUUCCCUGAUAUUUUGAUUUUGAUGUAUGUUAAGCCUUAAUGGCCACUUUUUUAAUGUUAUUUGGUAAUUGCCUCAUUAUGUAUUCGGAACAAUUAGGGGCCGGUAUGUAGUGGCCAUUUGGCCUAUUUUGCAUGUCAUUGUGGAUGUCAUGUUCCUUUAAAUUUUAGCCAGCCCGUUAUAAUGUGGGUGGGAUUUUAUGACGUGUCUUGGGGCGUGUUUAUGCAGCUUAACUGCUUGCGUGUUAGUUUAGUUGGGGAUUUCGUUUUGGACAGGAGAGGGAGAAGGUUUAUCCUUCGACCAUGUCAAGCAUGUCAAGCAGGUCAAGCAUGUCAAGCCUCAUGUGAAGAAGGAGACACGAGGAGUUUUCUAGUAUCUGAAGCAAUGCGCUGGAGUUCGAAGAAGAUUGCUGGAACAAGUCGGAAAACCUUGGAUGUAUCUUACUGUUUUAUAUCUACAAUAAAGAAAAUAUUCAUUAAAA